rnacentral:misc_RNA from 1 species
CGUGGUAUCAGGGUCCAGUACCCACUCUCUCUGUGGGGAAGCCAAGCAGCCCCUAUUCCUGCCACUGCACAACCACCUCUGGUGGUGACAGGGUCAGGCGCGCGUGACGUAGGGACGUCAGAGCGAUGUAUCACUGCCGAUGCCCGCAGUGUCCGGUGCUGGAUGGCGUGGCGCCGGAGCGACCCGCGACCGCGCACACGUUUUCGCCAUCCACAGGAUGGGCGGAGUGUCGGCGUGACUCGAACGCGUCCCACCCCCGGCCCUCACUGCCCACUGGGGGCGGGGUGAGUCUGGGCCCCCCGAGAGGGAUGCCCCGGGUGAUGGCCAGCAUAAUGUGCGUGGCUGUGGGGCGACCUGUGGGGCGGGGGUGGGUAAGGUUCGAGGCAGAAGCCAUGCACCGAUGACCGGGUCUGGGCAUUGCUGCACCUCGUGUGCCUACGGCUGCCUCGCGCCGCGCGACGGGGCCUGUGACCGGCCGGGCGGAGAUGAGCUUAGCUCUUGUGUGGCAGAGAGGAGACGACAAAAAAAUUCAGUUUCCGGUUCUCGUGUCUCAGGCACCAUGUAUCUUGAGUGGAGUGUGCAGUUUGUAGAUAGCAUGACGGCGUGUGCUUUUUUGAACAGAGGAACAAAACUGUCUGUAUGGGACGAGCAAACGUUGCUGUAGUCAAGCCAUGCACCCUGCGCGGCAAGCAUAUCUUCUCAGAAGUAUUUUUUGCGGCUUUCUCUAUGAGGGUGGUGGUGGAGCAGCACCUGGGUCCUUCUCGGACGUAGCAGGAGAUGCAUGAGAAGCAAAAGGAUAUGUGCACUCUUCCACCGCGAAUCGGCGACACUGCUUACUAUGGAAAUCAAGGCAGGCGCGUUAUGUUGUGUUUUUCUGGAGUUGUCGAGCAGCUUUUUUCCCCCUUUUCUUCACAGGCAGCAGAUCUGCUUAACCUGUUAAAGACGUAACAUUCGAACAAAAAAUAAGCAAGUGAACUACAGACGAAAUAUACGCGCAUGAGCAGCACCGAUACCUCUCCCCAUCUUCGAAACAGUGGAAGAUGCGCACUCUUAGCGCAGUUCGUCGAAUCCGUUCCUUCUUUUUGAGAGCUUCUGCUUUCUCCAGUCUAGCGGAGGGGCACGUGCGAGUAGGACAUCGAGCGUUCUGUCGUCUCAUGGCUUCACUUACUCGUUUCCACGGCGUCGCGGUGACUCGUUUUUUACUUGGAGAGAGUUCGGACUCCUGCACAAGUUGCUUCUCACGAGCCGGAUCCGCUCAUCUUCAUCGCCAGCUCCUCUUUUUCUUCUCUCACGUGUGCCUCGCUGCAUCGCAUCCCGCGCGCGGCUUUUUCUCCUUCCUACCUCUUUGUUAUUCCGCGAGAGGGCUAG